rnacentral:rRNA from 1 species
UAAGGAAUAUUGGUCAAUGGACGGAAGUCUGAACCAGCCAUCCCGCGUGCAGGAUGAAGGUCCUAUGGAUUGUAAACUGCUUUUAGCAGAGACGAAGACCCAUCAUUUAUGAUGGAGUGACGGUAUCUGCGGAAUAAGCACCGGCUAACUCCGUGCCAGCAGCCGCGGUAAUACGGAGGGUGCAAGCGUUAUCCGGAAUCACUGGGUUUAAAGGGUGCGUAGGCGGAGAAUUAAGUCAGUGGUGAAAUCC